UACGUAGGGGGCAAGCGUUGUCCGGAAUCAUUGGGCGUGAAGCGCGCGUAGGCGGCCCGGUAAGUCCGCUGUGAAAGUCCAGGGCUCAACCCUGGAAUGCCGGUGGAUACUGUCGGGCUAGAGUCCGGAAGAGGCGAGUGGAAUUCCUGGUGUAGCGGUGGAAUGCGCAGAUAUCAGGAGGAACACCGAUGGCGAAGGCAGCUCGCUGGGACGGUACUGACGCUGAGGCGCGAAAGCGUGGGGAGCGAACAGG
rnacentral:rRNA from 1 species